CAUACUAAAAUAUCAAGGUCAUCCAAGGUGAUCCCCCCCCCCCAUCUAAACAAUUACUAUAUUUAUGCAUUGAUAAGUAUGCAUACGUUUAAAAUUCGCACACUUUUGCAUGCGCGUGCGACCACGGAGCAUGCGCGUGUGGCCACGGGGCAUGUUUAUGAUCGCUACAUCACGUCGGUAUGAUAGGAUUUUUAACCUAAGAAUCGUCAACUUUAACGCUAAAUAUCUCGCUUCGCAGGGCAAACCGCCGAAUUUUUCUGCCAGAUUCUUUCGUUUCGUGCCAAAAUGCGUCGAAUGAGCCUAUUUUGAUUAAUUUUUGAGGUGCAGUAGCUAUUCUAUAUAAAUACCUUCUUAUUCCUAAUAUAUGUUCUAUUGUGUGCAGGACCUAAGAAUUAGAAAAAGACAAAAAAACAUUUUUUAAGUUGAAGUAAUCACCAGUUCCAUCAAAAUGGCAAUUGGAAAUGUUAUCUGUGGUGUAAAUACUCCAAAAGUGAAGAGAAAGAAAAUUAAGAAAAAAACUGAUAAUAACAAGAUAUCAAAGUAUUUUGGGCUCGAGUUCCAUAUACAACCCCCUUCCGAUUUUUAUCUACUUUUGCAGACACGUAGUACGUACUAAAAGAAGCUGAAAGCUCCAGUGCUAACUUGCGGAAAUAACUAUUUUUUUUAAUAUUCAAAUUUUUAUUAUUUUGCUGAAUUUUGGAUUUUUGGUCUGCGUAUGCGGAAGAUUGGUUUUCUGGAUAACUGAGUAGGUCAGUGUACACGUCAGAACGUAGUUUAGCUUUAUAAAAGUGGAAUUUGAAGUGUAAGUUAUAUUUUUAUGGCAAAAGUAAUAAAUCUUUCAUUAAUUUUGUUGCGGGUGGGAAAGUGUGAAUCUAUUGUAUUCACGUAUAUACUUUUCUAUCUACACAACAAUUGGGUUGGGUUAGAUUAGUUUUUUUGGAGGUGGAGCGCCCCGCAGGGGGGCGGAACCUACUACUGCCUUCACACAUACUCUUUAAAGCUCCGUAGGGAAUUUUUUUUUAAUUUCCCGAAGUUGGGACCACUCAUACUUUAUUCCUCAUCACAUCAAAAACAACUUAUGUGUAAAACUCGAGGUCGAUCGGAACAAGGGUCAUUUGGAACUAUAUCCAUUUUUCCAUCCAUACAUUUUUUUGUU